CGAGCGGCGCCGUUGCCGCUGUGUCGCCUCAGGGCUGCUGCUCCCGGCUCAUCCCGGGACGGCGCUCAGCCCUGUGGGCAGAGACGGAGCCGUCGGUGCCGCUUCCAGGAGAACGGCCGCCUCUUCCCAGCAGAGCAGAACUUCCAGCCUGUGCCGCAGCAGAAAAGGAGUAUUGGGGAACGUCGGUGGUUUUUGAUUCACGGAGAGUGAGUGUUUGACAUACGUUUCUCACCUGGGAGCCAACACUGGCUUUGGCAGUUUGAUACGCAACAGUUGCUUCCAUUUCCAUUGGUAAUCCCAACACUGCUGCCCGAACUGCACGCUCAGCUUCCCAGAACCGAGUUGGAUUGACACUGGCUCAAGGAGUCCCAAGGCUCAGAGUGCUCCCACAUCCUACCUAAUUCUCAAGGCACAAAG
ensembl:lncRNA